rnacentral:rRNA from 1 species
UGGUCUAGGAUCACAUGACUUGCCCCUGGGACUCUUUUGAACGCAANGGACGUGAUUGCAACCCCUUGUUGAGAUUANAGAUAGUCUCGAUAUUCACUGGACAAACUGGCUGCUUUAUGCAGNCUUGUUGAAUGGUGGAUA